rnacentral:rRNA from 1 species
UCUAGAUGCCCCUCAUACACCUACAUCCGCCCGAGAACUACGAGCACAAACGCUUAAAACUCUAAGGACUUGGCGGUGCCUCAAACCCACCUAGAGGAGCCUGUUCUAUAACCGAUAAUCCACGAUCCACCUAACCACCCCUUGCCAACACAGCCUACAUACCGCCGUCGCCAGCUCACCUCUAAUGAAAGAACAACAGUGAGCCCAACAGUCCCCACUAACAAGACAGGUCAAGGUAUAGCCCAUGGGGUGGAAGAAAUGGGCUACAUUUUCUAGCAUAGAACAUAACGGAAAAGAGCGUGAAACUCGCCCUUAGAAGGAGGAUUUAGCAGUAAAGUAGGACCACACUCCCC